UUAAGUUUCCACAAGCUUGGAAUUAUCCAACAUUCACCCCCUUAAUUCCAACUUGAAUUAGGGAGAUCAAUUUCUUGAACUCCGAUUAAGCUCCUCAUUUGCUUGAACUUAAUCAUCAAGUAAUCAUCCUCCACCACACCAUGGUGUGCGAAUCCACCCAUUGAAUUCACAUCUUUCUCAAGGUUAGACCGGAUGCUCUCCUUGCUUCCGUACCGCUUCUUCUUAGAAUCGGCCCAGUUCUUGUAUAACCUUCUCAUGACCUCUUCACUUAAGUUGCGAUGAGUCUUGUGGCUGAAGCUCACUGCGAUGAUAACUCUGGUCACAUCCGCCAUCUUGCGUACAUGAGCUCUGGGAAGGAUGUCGGCCUUCUGCUCAACACCCAACUGAUUUAUCUCUGGUUCAUCUUCAUCCUUUGAGAACCUUGACUCCAUUGGUACAUGCGUUGUGUCACACGCUUCCACCUUUGUGUCACACACUCCUCCGUGAGUCGUGUUGCACACUCCUACGUGAGUCGUGUUACACACUUCCAUCUUUGUGUCACACAGGAUUCCUUGAGCAUACCUCUCUUGCUUUAUUCUGAUUCCGUCUGCUCCUUGAAUCACCUCUAUGCCAAGGUAGUACGUUAGCUUACCUAGAUCUGACAUCUCGAACUUCUUAGACAUCUCCUCCUUGAAUUGCCUAAUCACCUUAAGCGAAGUUCCUGUCACAAAUAGAUCAUCAACGUAGAUGGCUAUGAUCAAGACGUCUCCUCCUUGAGUCUUGCAGUACACUGAUGGUUCCUUCGUGCACUUCUCAAAUCUCAUCUCCUUGAGAACCUGAUCGAGUUUUACACUCCAUGCUCUGGGUGCCUGGCGUAACACAUGCAACGUCUUGUGUAACACACAAACUCGAUCAUCUUCUCCUUUCUUCUCAGAACCAGUCGGUCUAUCUUCAAGCUCCCAUAUCUUGUUUCUUGUGAUAGACUCCAACUCGUCUUCCAUAGCUUCAACCCAAUCUUCUUCACAAGAUAGGUUGAACUCAUCUGAGGCAAUCUCUCCUCCUCUAUCGGUGCAUCCUAGAUUGAGCACAUCUGAGGCAACCUUGGUGCUUGUGAACAAGAUAAGAGUUAUAAGAACAACUUUUCUUAUUAGCUUUAGAAACUACUCAAAACUAAAGCUCUCAAUAUGUUUCACUUAGAUCAUAUGGAACACCUCUCCAUUAGACCUAUAUUUAUAUGAAAGACAAUUCCCUUUAACAUGUGGGAUAUGGAAAACACAAACCUAACCUAAAUAGAAACUUCCUUUUCCUAUUUCUAGGUUUCCUUAUUGUGUUUAUCUUAACAUAUUAAACAUCUAAUAAUAUGUUAAGUUUCCACAAGCUUGGAAUUAUCCAACAUUCACCCCCUUAAUUCCAACUUGAAUUAGGGAGAUCAAUUUCUUGAACUCCGAUUAAGCUCCUCAUUUGCUUGAACUCAAUCAUCAAGUAAUCAUCCUCCACCACACCAUGGUGUGCAAAUCCACCCAUUGGAUUCACAUCUUUCUCAAGGUUAGACCGGAUGCUCUCCUUGCUUCCGUACUGCUUCUUCUUAGAAUCGGCCCAGUUCUUGUAGAACCUUCUCAUGACCUCUUCACUUAAGUUGCGAUGAGUCUUGUGGCUGAAGUUCACUGCAAUGAUAACUCUGGUCACAUCCGCCAUCUUGCGUACGUGAGCUCUGGUAAAGAUGUCGGCCUUCUGCUCAACACCCAACAGUUUUAUCUCUGGUUCAUCUUCAUCCUUUGAGAACCUUGACUUCAUUGGUACGUGCGUUGUGUCGCACGCUUCCACCUUUGUGUCACACACUCCUCUGUGAGUCGUGUUACACACUCCUACGUGAGUCGUGUUACACACUUCCAUCUUUGUGUCACACAGGAUUCCUUGAGCAUACCUCUCUUGCUUUAUUCUGAUUCCGUCUGCUCCUUGAAUCACCUCUAUGCCAAGGUAGUACGUUAGCUUACCUAGAUCUGACAUCUCGAACUUCUUAGACAUCUCCUCCUUGAAUUGCCUAAUCACCUUAAGUGAAGUUCCUGUCACAAAUAGAUCAUCAACGUAGAUGGCAAUGAUCAAGACGUCUCCUCCUUCAGUCUUGCAGUACACUGAUGGUUCCUUCGUGCACUUCUCAAAUCUCAUCUCCUUGAGAACCUGAUCGAGUUUUACACUCCAUGCUCUGGGUGCCUGGCGUAACACAUGCAACGUCUUGUGUAACACACAAACUCGAUCCUCUUCUCUUUUCUUCUUAGAACCAGUCGGUCUAUCUACAAGCUCCCAUAUCUUGUUUCUUGUGAUAGACUCCAACUCGUCUUCCAUAGCUUCAACCCAAUCUUCUUCACAAGAUAG
rnacentral:lncRNA from 1 species